rnacentral:rRNA from 1 species
AUUGAACGCUGGCGGCAGGCCUAACACAUGCAAGUCGAGCGAGCGGCGGACGGGUGAGUAAUGUAUGGGGACUGCCCGAUAGAGGGGGAUAACUACUGGAAACGGUAGCUAAUACCGCAUACUAUCGGAUCACCCAGAUGGGAUUAGCUAGUAGGUGAGGUAAUGGCUCAACUAGGCGACGAUCCCUAGCUGGUCUGAGAGGAUGAUCAGCCAGACUGGGAAUGAGACACGGGCCAGACUGCUACGGAGGCAGCAGUGGGGAAUAUUGCACAAGGGGCGCAAGCCUGAUGCAGCCAUGCCGCGUGUAUGAAGAAGGCCCUAGGGUUGUAAAGUACUUUCAGUCGGGAGGCGUUACCGACAGAAGAAGCACCGGCUAACUCCGUGCCAGCAGCCGCGGUAAUUG